rnacentral:rRNA from 1 species
UACGGAGGGUGCAAGCGUUGCUCGGAAUUAUUGGGCGUAAAGGGUAGGUAGGUGGUCUCAUUUGUCUGGGGUGAAAGCCUUGAGCUUAACUCGAGAAGUGCCCCAGAAACGGUGAGACUAGAGUCCUGGAGAGGGUCGUGGAAUUCCCGGUGUAGAGGUGAAAUUCGUAGAUAUUGGGAAGAACACCAGUGGCGAAGGCGAGUCCCUGGACAACUUCUGACGCUGAGGCACGAAAGCUAGGGGAGCAAACAGG